UACGGGGGGAGCAAGCGUUGUUCGGAUUUACUGGGCGUAAAGGGCGCGUAGGCGGCCAGCACAGGUCAGUUGUGAAAUCUCCGGGCUUAACUCGGAAAGGUCAACUGAUACUGUGCGGCUAGAGUGCAGAAGGGGCAACUGGAAUUCUCGGUGUAGCGGUGAAAUGCGUAGAUAUCGAGAGGAACACCUGCGGCGAAGGCGGGUUGCUGGGCUGACACCGACGCUGAUGCGCGAAAGCCAGGGGAGCGAACGGG
rnacentral:rRNA from 1 species